rnacentral:rRNA from 1 species
GAUGAACGCUGGCGGCGUGCCUAACACAUGCAAGUCGAACGUGAGAGGAUAGCAAUAUUCUUGAAAGUGGCGCACGGGUGAGUAAUACGUAGGUGACCUGCCCUGGAGUGGGGGAUAACAGCUAGAAAUGGCUGCUAAUACCGCAUAAUACGAGGAUACUGGGAAGUAUUCUGGUAAAAACUCUGGUGCUUCAGGAGGGGCCUGCGGCCGAUUAGCUAGUUGGCGGGGUAAGAGCCCACCAAGGCAGUGAUCGGUAGCUGGUCUGAGAGGACGAUCAGCCACACGGGAACUGAGACACGGUCCCGACUCCUACGGGUGGCUG